rnacentral:rRNA from 1 species
UACAGAGGUCUCAAGCGUUGUUCGGAUUCAUUGGGCGUAAAGGGUGUGUAGGUGGCGCCGUAAGUCGGGUGUGAAAUCUCGGGGCUUAACUCCGAAACUGCAUUCGAUACUGCGGUGCUUGAGGACUGGAGAGGAGACUGGAAUUCAUGGUGUAGCAGUGAAAUGCGUAGAGAUCAUGAGGAAGACCAGUGGCGAAGGCGGGUCUCUGGACAGUUCCUGACGCUGAAGCACGAAGGCCAGGGGAGCAAACGGG